CCUACGGGGGGCAGCAGUGAGGAAUAUUGGUCAAUGGGCGAGAGCCUGAACCAGCCAAGUCGCGUGAGGGAGUACUGCCCUAUGGGUUGUAAACCUUUUUUGUCGGGGAGCAAAAGCCGGACGUGUCCGGCUGUGAGAGUACCCGAAGAAAAAGCAUCGGCUAACUCCGUGCCAGCAGCCGCGGUAAUACGGAGGAUGCGAUCGUUAUCCGGAUUUAUUGGGUUUAAAGGGUGCGCAGGCGGAUUUUUAAGUCAGCGGUAAAAUCGUGGGGCUCAACCCCAUCCAGCCGUUGAAACUGGGGAUCUAGAGUGUGCGAGAGGUAUGCGGAAUGCGUGGUGUAGCGGUGAAAUGCAUAGAUAUCACGCAGAACCCCGAUUGCGAAGGCAGCAUACCGGUGCACAACUGACGCUCAGGCACGAAAGCGUGGGUAUCGAACAGGAUUAGAUACCCCUGUAGUC
rnacentral:rRNA from 1 species